UGGCAGGUCGCUUAAUAGUAAGGCACCACUUUUUGCCCUCACGGGCCGCAGAUUUAGGGUUAUCGCUGUAGACGAAGUCCCCCUUAAUCGCCGGAGAUGCGGGUGCGAUUCCCGUCCUGUCAA
rnacentral:tRNA from 1 species